rnacentral:lncRNA from 1 species
GGUACAGUGUGUGUGUAAAAAUAUUGCCUCUGACAAACAGUACAAAGGCAUAGAGGAUUAUAUAGUCUGUUUUCCCAAGGAGAAGUGAAUACUCUUCUUCUGGAGGGGCAGCUUGGGUUCUGGAGGUAUUUUGCUGACAAUCUGGCCUCUGGUGGUACAUCAGGAGUCAUUUUCAGCUUUUUCUACUCCUUAGGUUUUGCAAGAACCCACUGGGCAACGAAUAUUGGGAAACCUGUCAAGGGAAAAAAAUUCAAAGGCAUAGAAGACUGUGUGUAAAAUCACUAAAUUGGAUGGCCAGUGUGUUCUCUUCCCUACUCCAUACUGCGAUGGGGUAGGUGAUGAUGCAGUCUGGUCACAAAGAACUGACAUCACAUAUAACGGAAACUUCAUAUAUUGUGGGGUGAAGAUUUUAAAGAUGAAUGUGGAAAAGCCUUUAACAAAGAUGCAUAGUCCAAUGUUCUCAGGGGCAUUGGUGGAAUGCUCAUUCUGUAUGACAAACUGA